UACGUAGGGUGCAAGCGUUAAUCGGAAUUACUGGGCGUAAAGCGUGCGCAGGCGGUUUUGUAAGUCUGUCGUGAAAUCCCCGGGCUUAACCUGGGAAUUGCGAUGGAGACUGCAAGGCUAGAAUCUGGCAGAGGGGGGUAGAAUUCCACGUGUAGCAGUGAAAUGCGUAGAUAUGCGGAGGAACACCGAUGGCGAAGGCAAUCCCCUGGGCCUGCACUGACGCUCAUGCACGAAAGCGUGGGGAGCAAACAGG
rnacentral:rRNA from 1 species